rnacentral:lncRNA from 1 species
UAGAAGUUGUCCAGGGCUCCCUGAGGGAGGCCAGCACAAGAGCUCUGCCAUAAAAGGACAUUGGACAGAAGUGAAGAGUCCAAUCAGAAACUCUUUUUGAGAGACUGAACGCAAAGCAUUCAGAGAGUCAGCAGGCUGGAGAGGCCAAGACACACACACGAAGAAGGCGGGACACUCUUCUCCUCCUGCGGUUGGACUCCAGGCUCUAUGACCUUCAAACUCCAGGACUUACACCAGUUGCCCCUGGGCACUCAGGACUUCUGCUUCAGACUGACAGUUGCAGGACAGUGCAGCAUUUUAUUUUAAAGAUACCCCACAACGUAGGUGGCCAGUCCUGCUGCAGGUGCGGUUUCAAGCCUUUGGAGUUUGACCUUCUAGUCCAAGGUCAUUACAGCUGCAGGCAGAGGCUCCCGCGGGGAAAAGAGCAUUUCCUGGGACGCUGGAACUAAAUGAAUGGCCCACUCUCCAGUUCAGCCCUUGCCUCCUUCCCGACACAUAAAGUUCAAGAGCCACGGUCCUGAGUGCAUAGGAACAGCCCCAUCACCCUUCUCCCUCUGGGCAAGCUAGGAGCAGCGGUGCGAGGCUCCAUUUCUUCUUCUCUGCCUCCUGGACCUCAGCCACCUCUGCUCAGGCACAGGCCAGCUGCCCAGGCGUCCUCAUCUGGCGACCAGCUCUGACCGCAGCCCUGGUCUGCUCUCGGGGUCGGGCCCACACCCCUCUUCUUCCUCCUCUUCCUCCCAAGGCCUGGGCUCGGGUCCCUCUUCUCACCUUUCCCUUUCUUGCGUUGCAACCGUAACUUGGGAAAACCCUUCUUGAUCUUCCUCUCUCACCUCCUUUCAAACACAUGCUUGCAGGCUUUUUCCCGAUCUCAUCCUUAGGGCAGAUACGCUCCCUUGAUUCUGAGGUCUUUGAACUUGCUGUGAAGCCACACUACCUGCGUCCCAGGGUCUCCAGCUUGCAGAUGGACUGUGGUGGGACUUCUCAGUCACCAAGGUCAGGCGACCCACCAUGAGGUCACACCCCUGUUCAUAAGGAUUUGAGCUCUGCUAACAUCCCUGACAGGAAAGAAGCAGAGUAGCUUUUAGGGACAAACCAUUCCAAGGAGAAGGAUCACUGCACAAGGACCCUCUCACUCUCUCCCCAGAAUCUCCCCUCUCUCUACAGUGCUCUAAAUUCUGUCCUCAUCACCCCUGCAGUGUCUCUUCCCCAUUUCUCCUCUACCAUAGACAUAGACAAAGCAUCACCCAAAAAGGGAGAGGGAAAUAUGACUGGGAAUUCUUUAGAACAGUUAUUAAGUGGCAAAGACCGGAUUUGAAUCAAGAUAUCUGAUUUUUAAAAUUCACCUUGUUUCAAAGCAUUUUACUUCACCUAAGAAGUUAAUACACCUCACAACCAGAUAACUCCUUCUUUUCAAUUAGACUGUGUCUGUAUCUGGGAUCAGUUGCGAAGCAGAAGUAUGACGUGACUAAGGCCACCGCUGGGUUAGGAUACCCCCAUCCAAGAUUGAGAGCUGUACUAGCCUGGCAUGCAGACAGCAGCUUUAGAAUCAGAUCUGCCUUCUGGCGGCUUCCCACCUAGGAGCCAUGGGACCUUUGUGAAGUCACCAAUUGUGCUGUGGAUGCUUCAUUUGUGAAGGAGAACAGGACUGCCUGGUGAAAUUACGGAUGGUGCUACUAAAACAUAUCAAUAAUUUGAAUUUCACUUUUGUGGAUGCUUUAAACAUCAUAGUCAUUAGAAGGUGGAUCUGGCUGAUUGUACUUUAAGUUUUCAGUUUGAGCUGGAGCUUUGUAUUAUAACAGGAGGGUACUGGACAAGGUGAGUUGCUGAUAGCCUCCCCCCACCUGCCAACAGACCUAUCAUUAGAUGGAAUGUAAUGGACUUUGGCCAGUUGUUCUCCACCCCAGCUCUGACUUAGCGGCUCUGGCAAGAAUGGAUAUAUGAGCCUAAAUACAGAGCUUGUUGUGCUGAACAACACAAUAAGAUAGGGACCCUGUCCCAGAGAUGACUACAUUGAAGUUCAGAGAGUUUAAGUAACUUGCCCAAAGUCACAUCGCUAGUGAAUAGCAAAACGAGGAUUCAAGCCUAGGCCUGCCUAUUUUCAAAGUUUAUGGAAGGAAUUAAAACAUUUCUUAGUCUAGAUGAGGAAACUGAGGUACAGAUGGGAAACUUGCUCAAGUUCACACAGCAAUUAAGUGAUCAAGUCCAAGAGCAAAACCAGGCAGGCUGGCUCCAGAGCUCACGAUAGUCCACCACUGCUUUCCACCAUCACUACGGAAUCAAGUCCAUGAGGAUACUCACCUUAUGUCAGUUGCCUAAGUUGGAAAUUAUAGAAUCUUCAAAUUGGAAGGGACGUUAUCAUCCAAGAUUUCAACUUUCUACUCACUGCAAAAUCCCUUCUGGAACUUCCCAGAUUGAUGAAUUUUCAUCAGCUCUGCUUGAGUACUCCCAGUGACUUGGAAAAAAAACACUGUAAUAUGGAUAUGAAAUAUAAACUGUUCAUGGAUAAAUUAUUGCAUAAUAAAAACAUGCCUAAUGGCUACACUCCCCUA